UAAGGAAUAUUGGACAAUGGUCGCAAGACUGAUCCAGCCAUGCCGCGUGCAGGAGGACGGCCCUAUGGGUUGUAAACUGCUUUUGUACCAGAGAAAACCUAUCUACGUGUAGAUAGCUGAUAGUAUGGUAAGAAUAAGCAUCGGCUAACUUCGUGCCAGCAGCCGCGGUAAGACGAAGGAUGCAAGCGUUAUCCGGAUUCAUUGGGUUUAAAGGGUGCGUAGGCGGGCUUGUAAGUCAGUGGUGAAAUCUCUCAGCUUAACUGAGAAACUGCCAUUGAUACUGCAGGCCUAGAGUAUAGAUGACGUUGGCGGAAUAUGACAUGUAGUGGUGAAAUACUUAGAUAUGUCAUAGAACACCGAUUGCGAAGGCAGCUAACGAAACUAUAACUGACGCUGAGGCACGAAAGUGCGGGGAUCAAACA
rnacentral:rRNA from 1 species